rnacentral:tRNA from 1 species
GGGCCGCUAGCUCAGGUGGUAGAGCAUCGCCCUUUUAAGGCGAGGGUCCCGGGUUCGAAUCCCGGGCGGCUCACCA